GUUUCUAAAAUCACCCUCCGGUCUUCCUCGGCAUAAAUCUGGCCUCGAAUCAGAGAAAACCGCUGUUUCGCAUUGAGUGCGGUAACUGCUGUCGUACCCUUAAGCCACACACCAGCUCGACUUUUCUCAAGCGGCCAGUUGUUUAAACGACUAAAAAUGUUCACGCAAACUAGGACGCUCACCCAGCGUGAUUCUCAUCUGCUGUUCUGCAGCUGGAUCCCACCCGCUCUGAUCCAGCAGCCGCCAGUCGGGGUCAGGGUGCGUCCGAGGUACGGUCCUACCGCGCGGCCGCGGCGCCGCGUCCCGCCUGUCCGCGCCCCUGGACUUGGUCGAAGCUCCUCAGUGUCUGUGGAAGAGAAAGCUGAGGAGUCUGGAACAAGUACAGGGUCCUGGACUCUUGGCCCAUCGUGUGACGGUCACGGAAAUGGACCGGCGCCGAGAAGGCGUCCUUCGCCCCGGCGAGAACGCGCGAUGGCGGUGCGACCCCGUACAACCACGGUUUGUCUGCUGCCGGACAAAUCUUACCGGAGCAAUUCAGAGGAAAAAUGCAAGAGACGCAGAGAGCGGAGGCCCAGACAUUGAGCGUGCUGGCAGAGUGUGUCCAACAGCUGACACGCACUGCGCCGAGGAAGUCCUUUCAUCAUGACAGGAACUGUGCAUUUCUAUUUAAAUAUGAAUCCUACUACGGGAAAACAGUGCAGCGAGAAGACAGUAUGUGAAAUUCAAGUUCUGCCACUCAGUCCAUAUUUACCCUGACUAAACUUCUCACCACAGACUAGGAUAACAACAUGUUCGGGAGGGUCAUACGUGAAUGAAUAAGAUUUUUAAAACAGAAUCUUGAAGAUGAAUCCACAAAUGACAAAUAUUAACCUUACAGUGGGGAAACGUAUCCAGACUUGAAUUUGUUUUUGCAUACAAUGUAAAUCCUGAGAUGAUACAAGCAAACGGCGCUGGUCAACUGUGGGGAACUGGAUUACUGUACUGGCACCUCAACAUGUUACACUCCCAAAUUUGACAUGUUACCGCUGAGUGAAGAAGGACACUUUUAGCCACAAGGUGGCAGACGGCAAAAGUAACUAUCUCACCAUGCUUUAUGGAACUUCAUCUGACACCCUUGAAGCUGCUUACACAGCAUUAAGCUUUUACCUGGUGGGGAGCCAGUUGGACCACCAGUCUGAUAAGUCUGGUAUCCUCUUCCAUUGUCUUUUGGCUUCUCUCCCAGAGCUCAUUAUAAUUCUGUAUCUUCAAAUGCUGGAUAUACGUCUGUGAUUCGUGAGUAAAACCGCAUAUCGUUAAUCCAACUUGUUGCACGGCUCUACAUACUUCUUCCAUCUGAUCUUUUGUUCUUAUGUUAUCACUG
rnacentral:lncRNA from 1 species